rnacentral:rRNA from 1 species
UACGUAGGGUGCUAGCGUUGUCCGGAUUUAUUGGGCGUAAAGAGCUCGUAGGCGGCUUUGUAAGUCGGGUGUGAAAACCCCAGGCUCAACCUGGGGACGCCACUCGAUACUGCAAUAGCUAGAGUCUGGUAGGGGAUCGCGGAAUUCCUGGUGUAGCGGUGAAAUGCGCAGAUAUCAGGAGGAACACCGGUGGCGAAGGCGGUGAUCUGGGCCAGUACUGACGCUGAGGAGCGAAAGCGUGGGGAGCAAACAGG